rnacentral:rRNA from 1 species
UAGGGCGAAAGCCUGACGCAGCGACGCCGCGUGAGGGAAGAAGGCCUUCGGGUUGUAAAUCUCUUUCAGGAGGGACGAAGCCACUCGGGUUAAUAGCCCAGAGGGUGACGUUACCUCCAGAAGAAGCCCCGGCUAACUACGUGCCAGCAGCCGCGGUAGUACGUAGGGGGCUAGCGUUGUCCGGAUUUAUUGGGCGUAAAGAGCGUGUAGGCGGCCUGGCAGGUCCGUUGUGAAAACUCGAGGCUUAACCUCGAGACGUCGAUGGAAACCGCCAGGCUAGAGUCCGGAAGAGGAGAGUGGAAUUCCCGGUGUAGCGGUGAAAUGCGCAGAUAUCGGGAAGAACACCCGUGGCGAAGGCGGCUCUCUGGGACGGUACUGACGCUGAGACGCGAAAGCGUGGGGAGCGAACAGGAUUAGAUACCCUGGUAGUCCACGCCGUAAACGAUGGGUGCUAGGUGUGGGGGGUGUCGACUCCCUCCGUGCCGAAGCUAACGCAUUAAGCACCCCGCCUGGGGAGUACGGCCGCAAGGCUA